rnacentral:rRNA from 1 species
AUUGAACGCUGGCGGCAGGCCUAACACAUGCAAGUCGAGCGGAUGAAGGGAGCUUGCUCCUGGAUUCAGCGGCGGACGGGUGAGUAAUGCCUAGGAUUCUGCCUGGUAGUGGGGGAUAACGUCCGGAAACGGGCGCUAAUACCGCAUACGUCUUGAGGGAGAAAGUGGGGGAUCUUCGGACCUCACGCUAUCAGAUGAGCCUAGGUCGGAUUAGCUAGUUGGUGGGGUAAAGGCCUACCAAGGCGACGAUCCGUAACUGGUCUGAGAGGAUGAUCAGUCACACUGGAACUGAGACACGGUCCAGACUCCUACGGGAGGCAGCAGUGGGGAAUAUUGGACAAUGGGCGAAAGCCUGAUCCAGCCAUGCCGCGUGUGUGAAGAAGGUCUUCGGAUUGUAAAGCACUUUAAGUUGGGAGGAAGGGCAGUAAGUUAAUACCUUGCUGUUUUGACGUUACCAACAGAAUAAGCACCGGCUAACUUCGUG